rnacentral:sRNA from 1 species
GCUUCAGGUCAAAUUAGGGCUUUGGGUCAAAUCAGGGCUACCUGGUCUGGGAGAGGCACACUUCUAACUGCUGAUGCCACCCUCAAAGGGUCUCCAGAAGCUUCCACUGACUGCUGUUGGCUGCACCAGGCAGUGAGUAUCAGUACAUUUAAUCAUCACAAAAACCGGGCAGGCAGAUGUUGGCGGAUUGUCUGUGGGCUGCUGAUGAGAUGGUAGAGCUCAGCGCGUCUGUGACUGGACCACAGUGCGAGUAGCUGGGGCUGACAGUGGACCCUGGGCUGCUGCAGGUGCCCCUGAGCUACUGCACCCCCUGCAACCCCCAGGUGGAGGGAUCCACGCAGCCUGGUGACGAUUUGGCCCUGGCCCUGAGCCAUGCCCCGCAUGACGCAGUGCUGUCUGCCAGCCUGGGAGGCUCCUCACCUGUCUUUGCCUGAGCCAGGGCCUGGGAGUUUCAGGACUGGGAAAGGAAAGAAAACCCCAAGGCUGGGGUCAGGAAGAGGAGGGCUAUUUUGCUGCUCAGUCCUGCUCCCCCAAACCAGACCUUCAGCUCUUUGCAAACGAAAGAGGGGGCAAGGCCAAAGCGGGGUUCCUUAUGCAAGUUUGCUUCCUGCCCUGAAAAACCAAAAAAACGGAAAACUUUUCCAAGCAAGUGUAAGCACUGUGUGAGGACAGAGUGGGCGUUUCCUUCUGAAAUAGGAGACUAGGCCCCCAGUGGGCAAAGAGACCCUGACCCGCUUCUCCAUCUGUGCGGGGGAAUGAAUGAGCAGGCUCACCCUGUUGUCAUCCUGCCUGCUGCUGUGGGGCCCCCCCAGAUCUUAGGAAUUGCUGGGUACUUCUGGACAGUGAGGUUGUCUGAGCUGCCUGCAGGUUCCCUGAGUCUGGGUACUCAGGGGCUGGGCAGGAGAUGCCCAUUAAGCAGGUGUUACUCUAAUGAGUGAGCUUUUCAAUGAGAUGAACAGGAAAAUUAGCAAAAUCAUGUUCCUAAUCAUUCCUCCUGCGGCAGCCCCAAUUUUGCUAACUGUUAACAUUAUCUGAUGCAUAAGUAGGGGAAUGCAUUUUUAAAAUUAUGGUAAAGCCUAUGUAACAUUUUAUAAAAUUGACCAUUUUAUUUUAUUAUUAAUUUUUUUUUUUUUAAGACAGGGUCUGGCUCUGUCACCCAGGCUGGAGUGCAAUGGUGUGAUCUUGGCUCACUGCAACCUCUGCCUCCCAGGUUCAAGCGAUUCUCCUGCCUCAGCCUCCCGAGUAGCUGGGAUUACAGCCUGUGUUGGAACAUCCUUCCUUCUUAAGGCUGAAGAACAUUCCAUUGUCCAGCUGGGAGCUCCCCGACCUCCAGGAGGGAAAGAUCCAAGCCAUCAGCGACUCAGAUGGGGUGAACUACCCCUGGUACGGCAACACCACGGAGACCUGCACCAUCGUGGGCCCCACCAAGAGGGACUCCAAGUUCAUCAUCAGCAUGAAUGAUAACUUUUACCCCAGCGUCACAUGGGCCGUGCCCGUCAGCGAGAGCAACGUGGCCAAGCUCACCAACAUCUACCGGGACCAGAGCUUCACCACCUGGCUGGUGGCCACCAACACCUCCACCAACGACAUGAUCAUCCUGCAGACGCUGCACUGGCGCAUGCAGCUCAGCAUCGAGGUGAACCCCAACCGGCCCCUGGGCCAGCGCGCCCGGCUGCGGGAGCCCAUCGCCCAGGACCAGCCCAAAAUCCUGAGCAAGAAUGAGCCCAUCCCGCCCAGCGCCCUGGUCAAGCCCAAUGCCAACGAUGCCCAGGUCCUCAUGUGGCGGCCCAAGUACGGGCAGCCGCUGGUGGUGAUCCCGCCCAAGCACCGGUGACAGCCAGGGCCACCCGCUAGGUUAGACUCGCAAAUAAUAAUACCGCUGAAAACAAAACUCAGACUCACUCUUUAGUCAUUCAGCAAGAUACAACCAUUCUACCCUCUCCAGCGGGCGGAUCUCACUGUGCUGAUGCCCCCGGGAAGGCCUCCUCGGCUCUCGGCACCUGCUUCCUUUCAGGGAGGGGGGAGAUCUAAGCAGGACAGACAGACCCCACGUGCGCCCUCAGGGUGACCUCUGGUCUCCUUGCCUCUCCUUUUUCUCAGUUUCAGUCGCUCACUUGUAACAGAUUCCCUGAAACACUGCUUUUUCCGUUUUUUAAAAAAACUCCUCUUUUGGGGGCUCAGGGGCAGGAGGAGGGGGAGCUGAUUAGGAGGGAAGCUCCAGCCCCCGAUCAAAGAGACAGAUCCGCACUGCUGCCGAUCUGUGGCGCUGGCCGGCCUUCCCCCCAGGUCCCUCCGCCCUCUGUCAUGCGGCCUUAUGUAGACUUGCUUUGCCAAACUUUUGCCUUAAGCUGAAUUUAAAGGAAGAAAACCAAUCGGAGAAAGAAAGCAGGAUCUCUUUUCUACCGGACUUUUCCUCUUCUGCCAGAGGUGGAGGGAGGGGUGGGGUCGCCCGCGAGAGUCUCUUGAGCCCUUCUUCCCGGUUGUCUUGGGAGAAGGGUGAGGAUGGGCAUUUAGACCCAAAACCAGCUGCUCACUCUUUCUUUUUGGCAGAAACAAAACCACAGGCAGAUUCUGCCUGAACAGCCCCUUCUCUCCCUCCACCCCCAGGUGGUAUCCCCGCACCUGCGGAGAGGGGCUGUGAGCUCUGGCGGGGGGUGGCUCCACCAGUCGCCUGGCCUCUUCUCCCCUCUCUUCCCAGCAGCCUUAACUUCCCUUGGGCGGCUCUAGGAGGAGAGAGGCAGGCUCCUGUGAGCCCAGGGAAUUUUCACCCUCUCAGUCCUCAGGACCCACCCCCAGUUGAGUCCCUGGCCCUUCCUCCAGGUGUGUGGCUUUUUCCUUCUCCAUCCACACUGGUCCCAAAUGCCUGGGGGCCGGCCACCUGGACCGCCGACACACAGCCUCAAUGUUAGUCUCAAAGGUAAGGAAGGCAUUCACGUCCCUUCUUGCAGGGCAUUUUAAGACUUGAAUCGGGUGGGCCCCGGCCCCUGUGGCUGGCUGGCCCCUGGUGUACUGUAAAAGGGCCAAGACAGGGCUCAUUCUCAGGGGCGCCCCUCCCAGGCCCUCAGGGCAGCGGGACGGUGCAGUCAGGCUCUGGGUGCCACAGUGAUGGAGGUGGAAGGCACCCAAGCUCUAGGGAAGUCUUGGGAGGCAGUCGGCCGAGCCCCUGCUUCCUGUCCUCAAAUAAGUGAAUCCAGGCCAAGGGCUGGGAGGGCUGGGUGGGCUUAUGGUCGAGAGGGGUCAGAGCCACUCCGGAGGCUGGGCUGGCACAGUGGAGAGCGACAGGUGAGGACAGACGUCCGGAAGCCCAUCCCUGGGACCUGCCCUCCCUCGGUCCCAGGCCACUGGAGCUCCAGGGCUUACUUAGUCCUGACCCAUUGUGCCAGGGUUCUGAGCAGUGUCGGCCUUGUGGCCACUUGCAGGGGCUAUUAGGGGACAUCCCGCUGAAGCCACGCUCCUUCCAGCUUGCCAAACCCACAGCUACCCACCCGGGGCCCACACUCAGCCUAAUAAUUAUCAAGCACAGAAAACCGUCCAUUUAGAAAAAUAAUCCAUUUCUGCUGCAGAUGAGCCACUUGUAAGAGUCUCCGUGACAGCGUGGGACGGUGUGGGCACCAAGGUCCCUGCCCUGCUCCUUCGUCCACGGGCUAUUGCGUUUAUUCAAGGGCUGCUUAAUGACCGUUCAGCCACUGCCGUCGGUCUCCGGGCCCAGCUCGUGCCAGGAGGCUGUCCUGGGACACACUGGGCUGGAGCUGCCGGCUGGCACGGUGCUCAGGGGGCCCCUAAUGGGGGCCAGGACCUCCCCGCAGAAACUGCAGGUUCUCUUGUGAGGAUGGAGGCCGUGCCACCCCGAAAGGCAGUAGCCUUAGGGGAACAGUGGGUCCCAGCUGCAUGUCUGAGGACUGGUGGGGACAGGGCUGGGACUCAGCUUUCAUUCACUGGAGACUUCUCCACUCAGGUCUUUGUUGCACUAAAGCAGGGACAGGACCCUGGCGGUUCAGGAAGCGGGUCUCAGGCCGCCGGUUUCUUCCCGGAGGUGGGGCUGGAGACCAGAAUGGAAAGGGGCUUCCUGAGCUGCUAGGGGGUGAAGGACCCCCGAACCCGCAUUUCUUGAGUGAGAGCAAACACUCGAGGCAGGAGCCAGCACCCCUCCCACUGCAUGCCCGGCCCCCAGCCCACCUUGCCCCCUGACCCACCUUCACCCGUGCCCCUUCUUUCCGCCCUUCCUUCCUCACCGAAGAAGGGCUAGGAACACCCUGGAGAGGCUGCAGGUCCGGCCACAGACGCUCAGCUGAGCCCCGGUCUGCUCCCUCAGCCUCCUUGCUCAUGUUGGAGCACAGGCCCCAGGCGUCCUGCCAGGGCCCCGAUUCUUCUUACGUCCCCCAGCCCUGCCCUGGCGUGGACAUCCACUCACUCCUUCCAGCAAUAAGAACCGUCCUUGGUCGUGGAGAGUACUGUGAAACAAACCAAUGCACUUACCAGGAGGCACAAGACUCUUGAAGAAGAUGUAAAAUGAACCUUUUUUUUUUUUUUUUACAAAAAACAAAAAGCAAAUAUUCAUAAAGAGAAAUAAAAUGUAAUUUUAAAGUAGG